AGUGAACGCUGGCGGUAGGCCUAACACAUGCAAGUCGAACGGCAGCACAGUAAGAUCUUGCUCUUACGGGUGGCGAGUGGCGGACGGGUGAGGAAUACAUCGGAAUCUACUUUUUCGUGGGGGAUAACGUAGGGAAACUUACGCUAAUACCGCAUACGACCUACGGGUGAAAGCAGGGGAUCUUCGGACCUUGCGCGAUUGAAUGAGCCGAUGUCGGAUUAGCUAGUUGGCGGGGUAAAGGCCCACCAAGGCGACGAUCCGUAGCUGGUCUGAGAGGAUGAUCAGCCACACUGGAACUGAGACACGGUCCAGACUCCUACGGGAGGCAGCAGUGGGGAGUAUUGGACAAUGGGCGCAAGCCUGAUCCAGCCAUACCGCGUGGGUGAAGAAGGCCUUCGGGUUGUAAAGCCCUUUUGUUGGGAAAGAAAAGCAGCAGGUUAAUACCCCGCUGUUCUGACGGUACCCAAAGAAUAAGCACCGGCUAACUUCGUG
rnacentral:rRNA from 1 species